rnacentral:rRNA from 1 species
CAGCAGCAGCCGCGGUAAUACGUAGGUGGCAAGCGUUGUCCGGAAUUAUUGGGCGUAAAGGGCUCGCAGGCGGUUUCUUAAGUCUGAUGUGAAAGCCCCCGGCUCAACCGGGGAGGGUCAUUGGAAGCUGGGAAACUUGAGUGCAGAAGAGGAGAGUGGAAUUCCACGUGUAGCGGUGAAAUGCGUAGAGAUGUGGAGGAACACCAGUGGCGAAGGCGACUCUCUGGUCUGUAACUGACGCUGAGGAGCGAAAGCGUGGGGAGCGAACAGGAUUAGAUACCCCUGUAGUCCCUGUCUCUUAUAC